rnacentral:rRNA from 1 species
GGCUACAGCCCUGCUACCCUGAACAAGCCCGAUCCCAUCUGAUCUCAGAAGCUAAGCAGGGUCAGGCCUGGUUAGUACUUGGAUGGGAGACCACCUAGGAAGACCAGAUGCUAUAGGUG